rnacentral:rRNA from 1 species
AGAACGAACGCUGGCGGCAUGCCUAAUACAUGCAAGUCGAACGAAGGCUUCGGCCUUAGUGGCGCACGGGUGCGUAACGCGUGGGAAUCUGCCCCUUGGUUCCGGAAUAGCAGUUGGAAACGACUGCUAAUACCGGAUGAUGACGAAAGUCCAAAG